UCGCGAAGAACCUUACCAAGGCUUGACAUACACCGGAAACGCCCAGAGAUGGGUGCCCCGCAAGGUCGGUGUACAGGUGGUGCAUGGUUGUCGUCAGCUCGUGUCGUGAGAUGUUGGGUUAAGUCCCGCAACGAGCGCAACCCUCGUUCUAUGUUGCCAGCGCGUUAUGGCGGGGACUCAUAGGAGACUGCCGGGGUCAACUCGGAGGAAGGUGGGGAUGACGUCAAAUCAUCAUGCCCCUUAUGUCUUGGGCUUCACGCAUGCUACAAUGGCCGGUACAAAGGGCUGCGAAACCGCGAGGUGGAGCGAAUCCCAAAAAACCGGUCUCAGUUCGGAUUGGGGUCUGCAACUCGACCCCAUGAAGUCGGAGUCGCUAGUAAUCGCAGAUCAGCAACGCUGCGGUGAAUACGUUCCCGGCCUUGUACACAC
rnacentral:rRNA from 1 species